rnacentral:rRNA from 1 species
UACGAAGGGGGCUAGCGUUGUUCGGAAUUACUGGGCGUAAAGGGCUCGUAGGCGGCCAACUAAGUCGGAUGUGAAAUCCCCAGGCUCAACCUGGGAACUGCAUCCGAUACUGGAUGGCUUGAAUUCGGGAGAGGGAUGCAGAAUUCCAGGUGUAGCGGUGAAAUGCGUAGAUAUCUGGAGGAAUACCGGUGGCGAAGGCGGCAUCCUGGACCGACAUUGACGCUGAUGAGCGAAAGCUAGGGGAGCAAACGGG